UACGAAGGGGGCUAGCGUUGUUCGGAAUGACUGGGCGUAAAGGGCGCGUAGGCGGCGGACUAAGUCAGGCGUGAAAGCCCUGGGCUUAACCUGGGAAUUGCGUUUGAUACUGGUUUGCUUGAGUGCGGGAGAGGAUGGUGGAAUUCCCAGUGUAGAGGUGAAAUUCGUAGAUAUUGGGAAGAACACCGGUGGCGAAGGCGGCCAUCUGGACCGUUACUGACGCUGAGGCGCGAAAGCGUGGGGAGCGAACAGG
rnacentral:rRNA from 1 species